GGAAAGGCUUAACAACGACAACUAUGAGGCUGCGAUCUGAUAUUAAUCUCUGGAUGUUCAGUACAGAUAAAACAAGAAUUUGUGUACACUAUUCAAUUUUAUGAAGAGCAACAUACUGCCCUUGGCAGAUCCCUGAAUGACCUCUCCAGGCUUAACCAAACAAUAGACCCAGAUUUGUUAAGUGUCCUAGAAGACAGAUUUGAGCACUUCUAGAGAAGAGUUUAUUUACUCAGGGCAGCCCUUUCAGAAGAGAGACCUGAGUGCAGCUGCCUAAGUCCCAGUCUGUCACCCCAGCAGCUCAACUGCAGAAACCACGUUUCCAGAAGUGCUGUAAACAUUUGAGAAGCUGACCUCGCUCCAAUAAACUUCUGCUGACUUCAGUGUAUCACUUUGUACCAAGAUACAGCUCAUACUUAAAUACGUUUUCUUUGAAGAGUACAUCUGUCAUUGAAAGUCAAUGGAAAGUCAUUGAAGUGGCACCUAAUGGGUGACACGGUCUGAAUUAACACAUGUUGGUGUCUUAAUACCUAGCCUUGUUCUACUCUUUCCUUGGGAGGAACCACACUUUCUCUAUUUAGUUAUUCAUUCAUUUCAGUGGGACCUCUAGUAAUAAAAUCAGCCAUGCGUGUUUCAUGGUGCUGUAAUCAGAGUUUUCUGUCCUGGCUUUAGAAACUGAAUUUGUGAAGUAGUAGCAUAGAGAAGUGACAGUGGAAGAAUACGGGGAACAACAGAAAGGAGGAAUUAAUGUAUUUUUACCUUGAAUCAAGUCCAUCCUGUAAUAAGGGUCCCAAAGCCCAAUUUUUCUUGGUUCUGACCGCUCACAGCAUUUCUCAGCACGACAAACAGAGGCACACUCGAGCUUCUGAUGAUGUGCGCAUUAAACUGCAGGAGACCUACUUGGCCUCUUCUUCGGGAAACGUCUCAAACAGCAGAUGCUGGGCUAGAGUGGGACAAGCUUUGAUUAGAAGGAAUACUCUUUGGAACAUGUAAUAGUGGCAUAAUGAUAUACAAACAGUAGCCACUGCGUUUAUGCCGGUGGAUGGCAGGUGAGUACAGCUCCCAUAGCCUCCAUCUAUCGCAGUGUCACUGCAGCAGGCUCACAUUGGUUUUUCGCUGCAGUUAGCAGCACUGAUGCUGUUGGUUAGCUGGAGAGGCAGCUCAGCAUGCAGAAGCACACACAGCUUGAAGAGGAGCUCUGGAGGUCGUUGGCUCACAUUUCAGGCUCCCUGGCAGGCUGCCUGACAGCAGACCUUUGAUUUCUUUGUGCAGGAAAGCACAGCAGCUUGGCUUUGCAACCUUGGGUUAAGACAAACAUGGCCUGGUGCAGGCAGUGCUCUGCUAACAUGCCAGACACCUCCAGUGCGCUGCGGAGAGGUUUCUGCACACCUCUGGACCAACAGAUCCAGCAUAAGCAGUGAGAAAACUACUUCAGAGCACUUAGAGGGCUCAGCUUGGCACACAAAGGAGCACAGUUUGCUUACCGAUAGGAAACGUCUGCUUGCUGCCUCCAGGGCAAGCUGCUCAUCCUUGCAUCACUCUGCAAGAAAUGUGGGCAUGCACCUGAGCUCUCCCAUUGCCCCACCAGCCGUGAGCAUCCAGCACAGUAAGGUCACCUCCAGUAAGGCUGAUUUUCAGCGCCACUUCUUUCAUGGAGAGUUUUGAUGUCAGCAAAGGUGAAAUGUUUGUCUUCUGAAACAGAAGCACAGCGUUUCCGUUACAGAUUCUGCUACAGACGAACUCAGUCCCAUCCAUGUCAGUACAUUUGCAUCCCUGCCUGUGGCCUGAAGGCAUACAAAGCAUCAAGUACAGCAGGCCUUCAUGGUAUUCCACGCCACUCUUUUUAGUUAUGUGUGAUUUAUGGCCAGUGACCAAUCCUCCAUACUAGUCUGAACACAGAAUAUUCAUUUCCUACUGAUCAAAGAAAUACCAGCAAAUUUUUGUUUUUCCCUCCAG
rnacentral:lncRNA from 1 species